ACAAGAUGGCCGCUGCACAAGAUGGCCGCCAGUCCAGCGCCGCAGCACAAGAUGGCAGCCUCAGUCGACUUUCCAGAGUCAAGUCAGGUCCCCACUAACACCCAAGAGUCAAGUGAAACAACAGUUACACUUCUUGAUUCUAGUCAGGUCACCGUUGAUCAGGUCCCUGUUUAUUUCCCAGAAUCUAGUCAGGUCACCAUUGAUCAAGUUCCAGUGGACCCUCCAGAGUCGAGUCAGGUUACAGUGGACCCUCCAGAGUCGAGUCAGGUUCCAGUGGACCCUCCAGAUUCGAGUCAGGUUCCAGUGGACCCUCCAGAGUCGAGUCAGGUUCCAGUGAACUCUCCAGAGUCGAGUCAGGUUCCAGUGAACUCUCCAGAGUCGAGUCAGGUUCCUGUUGACCCCCCAGAGUCGAGUCAGGUUCCUGUUGACCCCCCAGAGUCGAGUCAGGUUCCAGUGAAUUCUCCAGAGUCGAGUCAGGUGUUCAUGGACCCUUCAGAGUCAGGGCUAGUCACCGAUGACCCUCCAGAGUCAGGGCUAGUCACCGAUGACCUUUCAGAGACAAGUCAAGUCACCGGUGAUCUUCAAGGACAGAGUCAAGUCACCGGUGAUCUUCAAGGACAGAGUCACGUCACCGGUGAUCCUCAAGGACAGAGUCACGUCACCGGUGAUCCUCAAGGACAGAGUCAAGUCACUGGUGAUUUUCAAGGACAGAGUCACGUCACCGGUGAUCUUCAAGGACAGAGUCAAGUCACCGGUGAUCUUCAAGAACCAAGUCAAAUCACAGUUGAUCUUCAUGAACCAAGUCAAGUCACAGUCGAUCUUCAGGAACCAAGUCAAGUCACAGUCGAUCUUCAUGAAUCCAGUCAAAUCACCACGGAUCUACCAGAGCCUCGUCACAUCUCAGCCGAACUUCCAGAGCUCUCGUCCUAUUCUGUCACGGCCAUGGAGGCCGUCUAUGAGCUCUCAUUCGUUCCGGUCAUGGCUAAGGCGGUCCUCCAUGAACUCACCGCCUGCCCUGUCACGGCCAUGGAGGCCAGCUACCAUCUCAUCACGGCCAUGGAGGCCGCUAUUAACCUGUUUAUGUUCCCUGUUUCAGUCCCACCUGACCAGACUUGCUUUCCUGUGCCAUCAACUCCACUGUGGUGGUCCUCUGCUCCACCCUGGUGGGCCUCUGUCAUGUCUGCUCAACUAUGGUGGUCGUCUGGUCCGCCCUGGUGGGCUUCUGUCCCAUCAUCUCGGCUGUGGUGGUCUUCUGCUCUGCCCUGGUGGGCUUCUGUCC
rnacentral:lncRNA from 1 species